UGUUCUUGCUGGAUGUCUGGCCUACUUACAAUCUUGUUCAAUCCUCGCUUUGCCGAAGUCAUCCUCACCGAGAAUUAACUUUAUUUCAUUCUUUAUUCACAGGCUUAUCUUCUCAAGAUGAGAGCCAAGGUAAGAAACGAUUUUUACCGCUUCUAUCAGGGUUGGUUGUUGGGCGGUAAUUAGGCCUCUUUGCUGCUUUGUUCUUCAAUGUGGAUGGGUAUGUUUGUUCCAUAGGUUGGCUGUGUUCUAGAACGUCUGAACCUAUAGAAUGUAUGAUGGUCGUGAUUAUACUGCAUUGUGUGCCGCAUUAUUCAGAUGCAUAUUUGCCUAUCCUUUCUUUAUAUAACAUGGCGUCACAUGAUCCUUUUCACUGUCCAUUAGAUAAUUAAAUCGAAGCCUGUUCUUCACAAGCUAAUCAGGUCGCUCCCCGGGCCCUAACGCCUUGUGCCCUGUAUGGAGCAUUACUGCCCAUUCUGCUGUUUUGUUGUCCCAGAUGGACACUUGGUCACUUGGCAGUCGUCUUACUACACUAGAAGCACCCGAUUAAAGCCAUGACCUGGUGGGUGCUUGUCCAGAUAUAGAUCACCUUCAAGAAGAGAACUUGAGAUUUAUGUUUGCUAUCACUCUUGCUGCAAUGCAGCAGUCUCUCCUUGAAAUGGUGGACUGCACUGACCCAAGUCCAUGUCAACACUCAACUCCUUUACUCUGCAAAUGGCCUCUAAAUAGCAUUUUUAAAACAUGGACCACUGGCUUGGUCAAAUCGGUGAAACUAAUUUUUUUUUUUUUUUCUCUCCUUACAGUGGAGGAAGAAGCGUAUGCGCAGACUGAAGCGUAAGAGGCGAAAGAUGAGGCAGAGGUCCAAGUAAACGUCUCCUCCGUUGCUUCUGAGACCUGCAAGCUAAAGAAAUCACUCCUGAAGACUGCAUGUGGAAUUGAGCACUGGCCCUUGUGGAUGACACAGAAUUUGUCUGGCACUUUCAAUCUGCAAUUCGGUGUGAUCCAGCUUGUCCCCACCUUUCUGCUGCCAGGUGCACGCUGAAGACAUGCUGAAGUCUGUCUGGAGUUUGGACUUGUUUCUGGUCUCAUGUAGCAAAAGUAAUAAAAUGGCUUUUUUGGUUAAACCAA